rnacentral:rRNA from 1 species
ACUGAAUAGAUACCCUGGUAGUCCACGCCGUAAACGAUGGGUACUAGGUGUCUGGGGGAGCGACCCCCUGGGUGCCGGCGCUAAACGCAUGAAGUACCCCGCCUGGGGAGUACGGCCGCAAGGCUGAAACUCAAAGGAAUUGACGGGGGCCCGCACAAGCGGUGGAGCACGUGGUUUAAUUCGACGCAACGCGAAGAACCUUACCUAGGCUUGACAUGCUGGAGAAAGCUUGCGGAAACGUGAGCUCCUCUUCGGAGUUCCAGCACAGAUGCUGCAUGGCUGUCGUCAGCUCGUGUCGUGAGAUGUUGGGUUAAGUCCCGCAACGAGCGCAACCCUCACUCUUAGUUACCAGCGGGUAAUGCCGGGGACUCUAGGGGGACUGCCGGUGCCAAACCGGAGGAAGGUGGGGAUGACGUCAAGUCAUCAUGGCUCUUACGUCUAGGGCUACACACGUGCUACAAUGGGCCAGACAGAGGGUCGCCAACUCGCGAGAGUGAGCCAAUCCCCGAAACUGGUCCUCAGUUCGGAUUGUAGU